GCAGUCUGUGGAAACAAUUGGUCAGGGACAUCAGAGUUACAGUGCAUAGAGCUGAGGAUGUCAUUGACAAAUUCCUGGUUCAGGCGAAGCUGCAUCAAGAGAAAAAUGUAGUGAAAAAGCUUUUUGAUUUGGGCCAUGUUAACAAAGUUAGGAAUCUUGCAAAGUUUAUUAAAAGCAUCCAUGAGAAGGUGAAGGAAUUUCGUCAAAAUAAUCAACAAGCUUUCCAGCCUAAACUUAUGCUCCAUCAACCACAAAGAUCAGUUGCACGGGAGCCUCAGGAGACGUUCUUGGAGGUUAAACAUUUGGUUGGCUUUGAUUACGAAGCGGAAUAUGUAAUCAGACGACUUGUUGAAGGAUCUAGAAUUUGUCCCCAUUGUGGGUAUGUAUGGCUGGUCUUGGCAAAACCACACUGGCAAGAACAUUUGGGUUGAUGUCGGCCGGUCAUACGAACUAAAGAACAUCCUAUUUAAGAUUCUGAUAUCGUUCACGGAACACAUUGCACGAAUUAGCUAUAAUAAUAUGUGAAUUAUUUGUGGCUAAAGAAGGUGGUACAUGUCUCAUUGUCUUGGACGAUGUUUGGAACAUAGAACUUGUGGAUUUGGUCAAAAAAGUAUUCCCAGAAAACAACAAACGUCAUAGGGUCAUGAUGAACACAAAAACGUGGCUAGAUAUGCCCACGAAUAUCCUCAUGAUCUGAAAUAUCUGUCUAACGAUGAAAGUUUUCAGUUGCUGGAAAGGAGAGUUUUCAACUGUAGAAGGCGUCCUGAUGAGUUGGUAGAACUUGGAAAAAGAAUUGCAAGGAAAUGUGGCGGAUUACCACUUGCAAUACUGGUAAUUGCUGGAGCUCUGGAAGCUUUUCCGAACAAAUACUAUUGGGAAAGAAUCGAGAAAAAUGUGGGGCAACACCUUGUGAAAGAGAAUGACCCUACAAGCUGCUGGAAAAUUGUGGAAACCAGUUAUCAUAGUUUGCCUCAAGAAAUGAAGGCGUGCUUCUUGUAUUGCUUCACCUUUCCUAAAGGUAAUAAGAUCCCUGCUACGAAAUUGAUUGGCUUGUGGAUCGCGGAGGGACUUAUAAAGUCCAGUCCGACGUAUACCUUGGAGGAGAUGGCAGAGAAUUAUUUGGAGGAGUUUGCAAAGAGGGGUCUAGUGUGGCUGUCGAGAGAUGAUUUUGGAAUUAAAAAGCUCAGCUUUUACGACAUGUUGUAUGAGUUCUGCAAUACGGAGGCGAUUAGGGAAAGUGUUUUUCAAGAGAUACGUCUAACCCCUGAUCAGAUUUUUCCUACUAUACAAGAUCCAGAUAUUUCUCGUCCAUUUGCGUCUUGAAUCCUCUGCUCUGCUUGAUUUGAUCUCCACAAAACCAUUUGUAGAACAUGUUAGAUCUUUCCUAUGUUUUUCAUAGGAGGAGAAACAAAUCUAUCAGUUGUCUGCUCCUGAUAUACAACUCAUCCUCAAAGCAUUUCCACUGAUCAGGGUCUUGGAAAUUGAAUCCGUCAAAAUUCCCUUCUCUCAGUGUUUCAACUAACUGUUUCAUUUGAGAUAUAUUGCUAUUUCAGGUGAUUUCACAGAACUUCCUGCAUCCUUUGGUAAGCUUUGGAAUCUACAAUUUCUUAUAGUUAAUACAAGUACAUCGGAGCCCAUUCUUAAAAUAAAAGCAAAUAUAUGGAACAUGUAGCGGUUGAGACACCUGCAAACCAACAUUCCUGCAAAAUUGCUGCCCCCUCCUAUCUCAACAGAUAAAGGUUCUUGCCUAAAAACUCUUUCUAAGGUUGCACCAGAAAGUUGCAAUAAGUUGUGCUUGCAAAGGCUGGAAAUCUCAAAGAGUUGAGUAUUCGAGGGUGAACACAAGCUUUUCUCAGAACUAACAUGGAUGGAUUCAGCACUUUUCAAGGGCUAGAACACCUAGAAAAACUGAAACUGAUGAAUACUGGUCCUUACACAAGUGAAGCUCUUCACCUUCCUCCAGCAUUGUUCAGUUUUCUACGCAAGCUGAAUUAGUUAACUUUGUCAAACACGAGGUUUGAUUGGAGCAAGGCGGAUAGACUGGGGCAGCUGGAAUGCCUUGAAGUCCUGAAGUUGAAAAAAGAUGCCUUUACAGGUAAGUCGUGGAAGCCGGAGAUUGGAGGUUUUAGCCAACUCCAGCUCUUGUGGAUUGAAAUUGCUGACCUCGAAUACUGGGAGGCUUCAAGACUUCACUUCCCAAGACUUAGGAGAUUUGUUAUUUGGGGAUGUCCUAAGUUUGCGAGUGUGCCAGUUGAGCUAUCUCAGUUUCAUGACUCGUCAUAUAGAUGAUGGAAACAAGAAAAGCAGUCAAAUCUGAAACGAAAUAAAAACGAGAGAAAUAUAAAUGCAUGCUCCUAGAAGCAUCAAAAAUCUUGCUCAAUAAAAUUUCUCCUGAAACUGAUUCCAGGGCCACUCAGUGAUGUUAAAAGGAAAUAAUCCGGAGCUGGGAUCCUGGUUUCAUGGACAAAUUCUAGAAUGCUCUUUGAUACGUUAUCACUGCAUUUCACGUUUUCUACAGUCCAGUCAUCUGAUGUUCCUAUAAAGAAAACCUGUUUGUCUUUUGUCUAUUCAAGUUUCGUGAAGUUGGAAAUAAGUAACCUCGUCGUUUUGGAGAUAUGUUAAAUAAAUGUUCUCCACUCUUGGCUUGAAAUAAGCCUUUUGGGGUCUGCUUCGUUCUCGAUCACGGUUGACUGUUUUCUUUCUCAAUAGAAGUAUUGUUUGCCUGUUUCCGGAA